GUGGGGAAUAUUGGACAAUGGGCGCAAGCCUGAUCCAGCAAUGCCGCGUGAGUGAUGAAGGCCUUAGGGUUGUAAAGCUCUUUCACCGGGGAAGAUAAUGACGGUACCCGGAGAAGAAGCCCCGGCUAACUUCGUGCCAGCAGCCGCGGUAAUACGAAGGGGGCUAGCGUUGUUCGGAUUUACUGGGCGUAAAGCGCACGUAGGCGGAUCGUUAAGUCGGGGGUGAAAUCCUGGAGCUCAACUCCAGAACUGCCUUCGAUACUGGCGAUCUUGAGUCCGGAAGAGGUGAGUGGAACUCCUAGUGUAGAGGUGGAAUUCGUAGAUAUUAGGAAGAACACCAGUGGCGAAGGCGGCUCACUGGUCCGGUACUGACGCUGAGGUGCGAAAGCGUGGGGAGCAAACAGGAUUAGAAACCCGUGUAGUCC
rnacentral:rRNA from 1 species